AUAUAUAACCCUACCAGACAGUAUACACCUUAAAAUUAUGUUCAAAUAUAUUAAAUCUAUUGCAUAUAGCAUUUAUAUAUUGUAUAUAUAUAUAUAUAAAAAAUGACUGCGAAAACUUAACCUUGCUCACUGAUCUAGAUCCGACUUACCAAAUAUAGUUUUCCUAUUUCUCAUAUUCAUAUGACAAAAAUACAUACAGGGUUGAAGCAGUCGCUGAACUACGAAAAUUUGGGCAGACACAAUGAACAUAUGAAACUGCGUAGCGUAGUCAUGCUAAUGCAUAUAUACUUGUGCAAAAAGGUAUGAAGCAUCCAGGGAUUUUUUAUAUACUGAAAUAUAAAACUUCAUACGAAUAGUUUAGCACACCUACAGCAUGUAUGUCUCGCAUUAUGCUGUUUUGUGGAAAGAGAUAAAAAUUGUGCCAAAUAUGUAUACUAAGUCACAGUGCUAUCACAAUAAAACAAUUCGUGUGGUUUUUUUUAUAUUUUGUUACACGAAAUACCGUAAGGAUUAGUCAAAUCGUUUUGGCAUUUUUUUAUUAAACUUUUUGCCAAGGAAAUUAAUUUAAUUGAUAUAGUUUUCUUAACGUACAGUGGCGAAUAUUUCAUUCCUAUUCGAAAGGAAAAUAAACGUUCUUUAAGGUGCAGAGAGAGAGAGACAGAGAUAAAAUUGAGAAUGGAAAUGGGGAAUGUGCCAAAGAGACAACAACCCGACCAUAGAAAAAAAACAACAGCAGAAGGUCACCAACAGGUCUUCAAUGUAGCGAAAAAUUCCCGCACCCGGAGGCGUCCUUCAGCUGGCCCCUAAACAAAUAUAUACUAGUUCAAUGAUAAUGAACGCCAUCCUAAUUUCCAAAUUGUACACAAGAAACUAAAAUUAAAAUAACGCAAGACUAACAAAGGCCAGAGGCUCCUGACUUGGGGACAGGCGCAAAAAUGCGGGGUUAAACAUGUUUGUGAGAUCUCAACCCUCCCCCUAUACCUCGAGCCAAGUAGAAAAGUAAACGCAUAACAAUACGCACAUUAAAAUUCAGUUCAAGAGAAGUCCGAGUCUGAUGUCAGAAGAUGUAACCAAAGAAAAUAAACAAAAUGACAAUAAUACAUAAAUAACAACAGACUACUACAUGUAGCAGUUAACUGACAUGCCAGCUCCUGACUUCAAUUAAACUGACUGAAAGAUUAUGAUUUCAUCAUAUGAAUAUCAGGC
rnacentral:lncRNA from 1 species